GACAACACCCUAAACUCCUGACACUGUUCAGUCGGUUAGUCUGUGUAUCAACAUGGCAGAGGCAACUUUAGAAGAUAAGGAUUUGAUUACCUGUUCAAUCUGUCUGGACCUACUGAAGGAUCCAGUGACUACUGCCUGUGGACACAGUUACUGUAUGGGCUGUAUUAAUGACUGCUGGAAACAGGAUGAUCUGAAAGGUGUCUACAGCUGUCCCUUGUGCAUGGAAAGAUUCACCCCAAAACCUGUCCUGAAGAAAAACAUAUUACUGGCUGAAUUAGUGGAGAAACAGAAGAAGACAGGACUCAGAUUUACUCCUCCUGCUCUCUGUUAUGCUGUACCUGGAGAUGUGGAGUGUGACUUAUGCACUGGGAGAAAACUCAAAGCAACCCAGUCCUGUCUGGUGUGUCUCGCCUCUUACUGUAAGACUCACCUCCAGCCUCACUAUGAUUCCCCUGCCUUUAAGAAGCACAAAAAGAAGCUUGUCGAAGCCUCCACACAACUACAGGAGAAGAUCUUCCCUCAUCAUGGCAGUCUGCUGGAUGAUUACUGCUGUACUCAUCAACAGUGUAUCUUUCUGCUGUUUGUGGUGGAUGAACAUAGAGGCCAUGAUACAGUUUCAGCAGAAAGAAGAAAGAAACAGAGGAGACCCGGCCAUCGCUAUGCAACCCAGGUCAUGAGGCCACAACAUUUUCAGUACAUGCAACUGACCAUGAAGCCCACCUUCCAGGCUGCAGCACCUUGCAUGUUUUCCACUCAGCACACGGCCGGUCAGAACAUGGGCCUCUGCUUAUUUAUUGGUAUUAUUUUGUUUGCUUGGUUGUUUUUACUGUGAAGAGUUAAAUAGUAGAAUACAUAAGGCACCAUUUUGAAAUGUUGUAGUGUGCAGCAGUUUUCCUCGUUAUGUCAGUCACUGUCAGACCUACCCAAGCUAUUUACUAGGCCUACCUGUCAGAAAUGUCCAGUUGAUAAAUUUAGUGACAGAGGCAGGACAAGCAGGGCCCGUGUGCAAAAUAUUUAUCACAGUGGGGGCACAACCAAAUCUCGCCAGGGGCCCCGAAGAAGCAGGCCAGUGGAACAGAAGCAAAUGCUGGGCGAGCGCCUCUUCCUGCUCAACCAGAAUCUGCACUCCAGCCUGACUGGAAAGAUUGACAUGUUGCUGGAGAGUCUCCAGAGUCUCUCCUCGUCCAGUUGGAUGAAGCCAUGGCAGUGCUGCAGGUUUACCAGAGAUUAUGAGCUACUCAUCUGGUGUUCCAAAUGUCUAAUAAGCCACUGAAUUGGGAACCUUGAAUCUCACUUGACUGAGGAAAAACAUAACAUUGAAAAAUAACUAAAACGUAAAACAAUGCAAGAAAAAUUAAACAAUAUUUUUAAGAAAUGAAAAGGAAAUACCUUGAUUGAGCUUUGACUAGGCAAUAAAAAAGGAAAAUGGUUAAAAUAAAAAAUCUUAAAGUAUUGGAUUUUAAGAAUUAUGACAGAAAAUGAAAUUACUGAAGUAAUGCCUGGGAUAUCAAAGCCAUGGCAUUGUUAAAUGCACAUUUACUUUGCUUUCAUGAAUAUUUUUUUUUUUAUAUAUUAGAUUUUAUAAAGUGGCGUUGAUGUAGGAUUAGGGGGCACUACUCCCUGGUCUAUAAAGCCAGGGUGAAGUUGCCUCUAGACACUGGUCUAUGGUCAGUUGGUCAUUCGGUCAUUUGUCAGCAAAAGGCAGUAGGAUGACGCGUACCAUUACACAGACCACAGACCCUCUAUCCAGAUCAUCUGUGAGUAUACUGAGACCUAUUUAGUGAUCAAGAAAUUGUGAGCUUCAGCUGGUGGGCCUUUUCUAUAUCCAGGGCAAGUUAAGGGUUGCGGUCGAAUUAUGGUUUAAGACUGAAUGUUAAAUCGUUUGGACUGUUGUUCUCUCUCCUCUCUCCCUCCCUCUCCCCACCCCCCUCACGUAAAACUAUGAAAAUGUAAUAUUAUUUUAACAAACUCUACCAUUUUAUUCAUUGUAUAUGACAUGUCAUUGUGUAAAAUAAAUACAUGAAGUAUUCUAUGAGUCAUGUAAA